UGGCUCAGAUUGAACGCUGGCGGCAGGCCUAACACAUGCAAGUCGAGCGGUAGCACAGGGAGCUUGCUCCUGGGUGACGAGCGGCGGACGGGUGAGUAAUGUCUGGGAAACUGCCUGAUGGAGGGGGAUAACUACUGGAAACGGUAGCUAAUACCGCAUAACGUCGCAAGACCAAAGAGGGGGACCUUCGGGCCUCUUGCCAUCAGAUGUGCCCAGAUGGGAUUAGCUAGUAGGUGGGGUAAUGGCUCACCUAGGCGACGAUCCCUAGCUGGUCUGAGAGGAUGACCAGCCACACUGGAACUGAGACACGGUCCAGACUCCUACGGGAGGCAGCAGUGGGGAAUAUUGCACAAUGGGCGCAAGCCUGAUGCAGCCAUGCCGCGUGUAUGAAGAAGGCCUUCGGGUUGUAAAGUACUUUCAGCGAGGAGGAAGGCAUUGUGGUUAAUAACCACAGUGAUUGACGUUACUCGCAGAAGAAGCACCGGCUAACUCCGUGCCAGCAGCCGCGGU
rnacentral:rRNA from 1 species